rnacentral:rRNA from 1 species
AACGAACGCUGGCGGCAGGCCUAACACAUGCAAGUCGAACGCACCGCAAGGUGAGUGGCGCACGGGUGAGUAACACGUGGGAAUGUACCCUUUGGUUCGGAAUAACGUUUGGAAACGAACGCUAAUACCGGAUGAGCCCUACGGGGGAAAGAUUUAUCGCCAAAGGAGCAGCCCGCGUAUGAUUAGGUAGUUGGUGGGGUAAAGGCCUACCACGCCGACGAUCAGUAGCUGGUCUGAGAGGAUGAUCAGCCACACUGGGACUGAGACACGGCCCAUACGCCGACGGGAGGCAGCAGUGGGGAAGAUUGGACAAUGGGCGCAAGCCUGAUCCAGCCAUGCCGCGUGAGUGAUGAAGGCCCUAGGGUUGUAAAGCUCUUUCACCGGUGAAGAUAAUGACGGUAACCGGAGAAGAAGCCCCGGCUAACUUCGUGCCAGCAGCCGCCGUAACAC